GAUCCUGGCUCAGGAUGAACGCUAGCUACAGGCUUAACACAUGCAAGUCGAGGGGCAGCGGGAAGUCAGCUUGCUGACUUUGCCGGCGACCGGCGCACGGGUGAGUAACACGUAUCCAACCUCCCGCAUACUCGGGAAUAGCCUUUCGAAAGAAAGAUUAAUGCCCGAUGGUUUCAAGGGAUUGCAUGGUAUCUUGAAUAAAGAUUCAUCGGUAUGCGAUGGGAUGCGUUCCAG
rnacentral:rRNA from 1 species